rnacentral:rRNA from 1 species
GACAGAGGGGGCAAGCGUUGCUCGGAAUUACUGGGCGUAAAGGGCGCGUAGGCGGGUUGGCAAGUCGGUCGUGAAAUCCCUCGGCUCAACCGAGGAACGUCGAUCGAUACUGCUGUUCUUGAGGAUUGCAGAGGAGACUGGAAUUUCCGGUGUAGCGGUGAAAUGUGUAGAGAUCGGAAAGAACACCAACGGCGAAAGCACUCUGCUGGGCCGACACUGACACUGAGAGACGAAAGCUAGGGGAGCGAAUGGG